rnacentral:rRNA from 1 species
UACGUAGGGUGCAAGCGUUGUCCGGAAUUAUUGGGCGUAAAGAGCUCGUAGGCGGUUUGUCGCGUCUGCUGUGAAAACUCGGGGCUUAACCCCGGGCCUGCAGUGGUACGGGCAGACUAGAGUGCGGUAGGGGAGACUGGAAUUCCUGGUGUAGCGGUGAAAUGCGUAGAUAUCAGGAGGAAUACCGGUGGCGAAGGCGGGUCUCUGGGCCGUAACUGACGCUGAGGAGCGAAAGCGUGGGGAGCGAACAGGAUUAGAUACC